rnacentral:tRNA from 1 species
UCCUCCGUGGCGCAAUUGGCUAGCGCGUCAGACUGUUAAUCUGGAGGCUGUAAGUUCGAUCCUUACCGGAGGAG